rnacentral:rRNA from 1 species
GGGUUCGUAGGCGGUGUGGCAAGUCGGGAGUGAAAUCUAUGGGCUUAACCCAUAGGCUGCUUCCGAAACUGCUGUGCUGGAGUGUGGGAGAGGCGCGUGGAAUUGCAGGUGUAGCGGUGAAAUGCGUAGAUAUCUGCAGGAACACCCGUGGCGAAAGCGGCGCGCUGGACCACUACUGACGCUGAGGAACGAAAGCUAGGGGAGCAAACAGGAUUAGAUACCCUGGUAGUCCUAGCCCUAAACGAUCAGGACUUGGGGUGCCGCACGUUCGUGCGUCGUCCCGGAGCUAACGCGUUAAGUCCUGCACCUGGGGAGUACGGUCGCAAGACUGAAACUCAAAGGAAUUGACGGGGGCCCGCACAAGCGGUGGAACAUGUGGUUCAAUUCGACGCUACGCGAGGAACCUUACCUGGGCUCGAAGCGCACCUGACUAGCUGUAGAAAUACGGCCUUCCCGCAAGGGACAGGUGUGGAGGCGCUGCAUGGCUGUCGUCAGCUCGUGCCGUGAGGUGUUGGGUUAAGUCCCGCAACGAGCGCAACCCCUGCACGUAGUUGCCACUCCGCAAGGAGGGAACUCUACGUGGACUGCUCCGGAUAACGGAGAGGAAGGUGGGGAUGACGUCAAGUCCGCAUGGCCUUUAUGUCCAGGGCUACACACGUGUUACAAUGCAGGGCACAAACCGUUGCCAACCCGUGAGGGGGAGCUAAUCGGAAAAAACUCUGCUCAGUUCGGAUUGCAGUCUGCAACUCGACUGCAUGAAGCCGGAAUCGCUAGUAAUGGCGUAUCAGGUCGACGCCGUGAAUACGUUCCCGGGCCUUGUACACACCGCCCGUCACAUCACGAAAGUGAGCUGUACUAGAAGUCGCCGCGCUGACCGCAAGGAAGCAAGCGCCCAAGGUAUGACUCAUGAUUGGGGUGAAGUCGUAACAAGGUAACC